UACGAAGGGGGCUAGCGUUGCUCGGAAUCACUGGGCGUAAAGGGUGCGUAGGCGGGUCUUUAAGUCAGGGGUGAAAUCCUGGAGCUCAACUCCAGAACUGCCUUUGAUACUGGAGAUCUUGAGUCCGGGAGAGGUGAGUGGAACUGCGAGUGUAGAGGUGAAAUUCGUAGAUAUUCGCAAGAACACCAGUGGCGAAGGCGGCUCACUGGCCCGGUACUGACGCUGAGGUGCGAAAGCGUGGGGAGCAAACAGG
rnacentral:rRNA from 1 species